GAUGAACGCUGGCGGCGUGCUUAACACAUGCAAGUCGAACGGGAAGGCCUUGCUCUUGUGGGGUGCUCGAGUGGCGAACGGAUGAGUCUCACGUGAGUAACCUAACAUCGACUUUGGGCUAACGUUAGGAAACUGGGGGUAAUACCGGAUAAGAGCUACUGCUGCCUGGUGGGGGCUGGCAAGUUUCGACGGUUGGGGAUGGGGUCGCGGCUUAUCAGCUUGUUGGUGGGGUAGUGGCUUACCAAGUCAUUGACGGGUAGCCGGCCGGAGCGGGUGACAGGCCACAAUGGGACUGAGAUGCGGCCCAGACGCCUACGGGAGGCAGCAGUGGUGAAUAAUGCACAAUGGGCGGAAGCCUGAUGCAGCAACACCGCGUGCGGGAUGACGACCGUCGGGUUGUAGACCGCUUUCGCCUGUGACGAAGCAUGAGUGACGGUAAUUGGUAAAGAAGCACCGGCUAACUCCGUG
rnacentral:rRNA from 1 species